rnacentral:rRNA from 1 species
CCUACGGGUGGCAGCAGUGAGGAAUAUUGGUCAAUGGACGCGAGCCUGAACCAGCCAAGUCGCGUGAAGGAAGACUGCCCUAUGAGUUGUAAACUUCUUUUGUAAGGGGGUAAAUCGCGCUACGUGUACCUGUUUGAAUGUACCGUACGAAUAAGGAUCGGCUAACUCCGUGCCAGCAGCCGCGGUAAUACGGAGGAUUCGAGCGUUAUCCGGAUUUAUUGGGUUUAAAGGGUGCGUAGGUGGUUCGAUAAGUCAGUGGUGAAAGCCCGGGGCUCAACCCCGGCACUGCCUUUGAUACUGGCGGUCUAGAGUUUAGUUGAGGUAGGCGGAAUGUGUGGUGUAGCGGUGAAAUGCAUAGAGAUCACGCAGAACUCCGAUUGCGAAGGCAGCUUACCAAACUGCGACUGACGUUGAGGCACGAAAGCGUGGGGAUCAAACAGGAUUAGAUACCCUAGUAGUC